rnacentral:rRNA from 1 species
GAUGAACGCUGGCGGCGUGCCUAAUACAUGCAAGUCGAGCGAACGGACGAGAAGCUUGCUUCUCUGAUGUUAGCGGCGGACGGGUGAGUAACACGUGUAUAACCUCCCUAUAAGACUGGGAUAACUUCGGGAAACCGGAUCUAAUACCGUAUAAUAUUUUGAACCGCAUGGUUCAAAAGUAAAAGACGGUCUUGCUGUCACUUAUAGAUGGAUCCGCGCUGCAUUAGCUAGUUGGUAAGGUAACGGCUUACCAAGGCAACGAUGCAUAGCCGACCUGAGAGGGUGAUCGGCCGCACUGGAGCUGAGACACGGUCCAGACUCCUACGGGAGGCAGCAGUAGGGAAUCUUCCGCAAUGGGCGAAAGCCUGACGGAGCAACGCCGCGUGAGUGAUGAAGGUCUUCGGAGCGUAAAAAUCUGUUAUGAGGGAAGAACAUAUGUGUAAGUAACUGUGCACAUCGUGACGGUACCUAAUCAGAAAGCCACGGCUAACUACGUG